rnacentral:tRNA from 1 species
GGCUUGGUAGCUUAGUUGGUAAAGCACUCAUUUAACAUACACGAGUCGUGGGUUCGAAUCCCACCUGAGCAC